rnacentral:rRNA from 1 species
UACGUAGGGCGCAAGCGUUGUCCGGAAUUAUUGGGCGUAAAGAGCUCGUAGGCGGUUUGUCGCGUCUGUCGUGAAAGCUUGGGGCUUAACCCCAAGUCUGCGGUGGAUACGGGCAGACUAGAGGCAGGUAGGGGAGAACGGAAUUCCCGGUGUAGCGGUGAAAUGCGCAGAUAUCGGGAGGAACACCGGUGGCGAAGGCGGAUCUCUGGGCCAUAACUGACGCUGAGGAGCGAAAGCAUGGGGAGCGAACAGG